UACGUAGGGAGCAAGCGUUGUCCGGAUUCAUUGGGCGUAAAGAGCGUGUAGGCGGCCAGGUAGGUCGGUUGUGAAAACUGGAGGCUCAACCUUCAGAGGUCGACCGAAACCAUCUGGCUAGAGUCCGGGAGAGGAGAGUGGAAUUCCUGGUGUAGCGGUGAAAUGCGCAGAUAUCAGGAAGAACACCCGUGGCGAAAGCGGCUCUCUGGAACGGUACUGACGCUGAGACGCGAAAGCGUGGGGAGCGAACAGG
rnacentral:rRNA from 1 species